rnacentral:rRNA from 1 species
GUCCUUUUGGUUUUUUAUUUAAGGUCUAGUCUGCCCACUGAAUUUAUAUUUUAAAUGGCCGCAGUAUUUUGACUGUGCAAAGGUAGCAUAAUCAUUAGUUUUUUAAUUAAAAGCUUGUAUGAAAGGCUGGACGAGGUAAAAACUGUCUCUAUUUAAAUUAUAAUAGAAUUUAACUUUUAAGUUAAAAGGCUUAAAUAUUAUUAAAAGACGAGAAGACCCUAUAGAUCUUUAUAAUUUGUUAAAUAAAAUUUAUUUAGAAUUAUUUAUGUUUUAUUUAAUUGAAUUAUUUUAUUGGGGUAAUGGAAAGAUUGAAUUAAUUCUUUUUUAUAAUAAACAUUAAUUUAUGAAUAUUAAAUGAUCCAGUUUUACUGAUUAUAAGAUUAAGUUACCUUAGGGAUAACAGCGUAAUUUUUUUAGAGAGUUCAUAUCGAUAAAAAAGUUUGCGACCUCGAUGUUGGAUUAAAGAUUAUUUUAGGUGCAGAAGCUUAAUAAUUUUGGUCUGUUCGACCAUUAAAUCUUUAC